UAAGCCUACGAACAAAAAAGAAAAGACUCCACUUCGUUCCGUCCGCAGCGCCUUCUCCCCUCCCCUGCCGUCUCCCUCCUACCGUCGCCGCCGCUGACCAAGAUCUCGAACGGCAGCGCCUCCACCAAACCUCAACCUCGAGCAACAAUGUCCACCGCAACGCAUCAACUUCCACCCCUCAGGCAACCAACCCCGCGUCCACUUCGCCCGCUAGGCGGACGAUGUGACAUUCGACUGAUGUCUUCCCUGCACUUCCAGUCUAGCGGCGGCUCUUCGUUUGCCUCGCCGCAGCCGAGGCAGGGCCUCUCCCUCCCCCUUCGGCGAUGGCCAAGGCCACCGUGCCCCCAGCCAUGAGCAGAAGGAAGGGGUGACAUCCAGAGAUUGAUUGGUACGCUACUUGAUCCCAAACCACCAUAUGAGAGAGCUGCCACCCGAUCAAUCGGGAAUCCCAUGGCAGGGAGGAGGGGGAGCACGUUCUACGCAGUCGAUGGGCGCUAAGGCUGGCGGCCCAAUUUCAGGUGGUGGACAACUUGGUUGGAGAAAGAAACAUCGAUGGAGAUGGCAGACUCAUGUGCUACGCCUUCUUAUAUUUUCUUUCUUGCCUAAUGUAUUCUGAUAGCACUAUUUCCAAACAUAUUUUUCACUUUUUGUGUGUAUCAGGCUCAUGCACCAACCCUAUUUGCAGGAGAUUAAAGACUUUAGCAUGGAUUCAGUCCUCAAAUAUAUACAAGUUACUAUUGGUAAGAGAAAAUUAGUUAUGACUGUUGAUUAGAGUACCUACAUAACCAUGUGAAGUCUUUGAAUUCUAAGCUAUUCCAACCAAUUUUGUUUUUCGUCAUUUUCUAAAGUUGCUUCAUGGCCGUGUUGAAUAUCUAUCAAUGAUACAUCUGCAAUAGAAACAUUAUGUGACUCAAAUUUAUUAAGAUUUAUACUUGCACAACUCCCUUGCUGUUCUAAACAAAAGUAACCUGUAGAGAUUCAUAUAUACUAUCUAGACAUGUGGGCAGACUACAUUUAUUCAGUUGUGAGCUCAUCCUUCGCAUAACAUUACCCUUCACAUGUACAAAUUUCCUUAGCCUAUGCAGACUUACUGAUCAGUGAUCAAGUUCGCGCCUUAAGACAUUGGUUUUUCAUGGAGCCUUCAGUCAGGUCCUACAAAGAAAGGUUUAUUGAAUGUGUGUACAAUUUUACUUCAAGGGUAUGUUCUAUUGAGCGCUCCUCAUAACAUCCAUGGAGGGGUCGUGGCGGAUGACGCAGGAGCGGAUCGUCCGGCCGUCCUGGUCUUCUUUGGUACCAACAACGCCAGCCUGCCUGGAUAGUUGCACUCGCAGGUGUAGUAGCAAGGGCACCUCGACAGCUCUAGGAGUAUCGGGACAACCUCCACGUGAUCUACGACUACUUCAAGGUCUAUUCCAUGCCUCCCUUCAUCCCUUGUAAUUUAGAUUCACUUCCCUUAUUUCGGUGCAAAGAAUAUAUACAUUGGAUGUUGCAUAAAGAUUGUAUAAUACUUCUAAUGGUAUUUAGUUGAACCAUCCACGGUUUUAGUUGGACAGUGUUUGUAUGCAGAAUGACUAUAUUUUUUAUUUGACUUAUACACAACCUUGCCAUCAAUCGAAAUAAUUAGAUGCAACAUGUUGUUUCAACGGCUGGUUUAGAAAUUCGUUCAUAUUUUUUCUUAUUCAUUGGAAAAUCUAUUAAUGUAAAUUAUGACUGAAUUAUAUAUAGCAUGUGAAGAUAUGUAUCUAACAUUACUAUGUUCGGUAAGCCAUUUGGAGUAUCUUUUUCAAUUUUCAGGUCAGUAUGAAUAUGAUGUGGAGAAGUGACAGCGAGAAGUACACAUUUUUAUUUGUCUUGCAUCUUCCCUCAACGAAGUGCAGACAUUACUGCUGGGCAGGUUGGCCAUUUCCCUUAGAUGUACUUUUGUUGAUCCCUUAUAAUUUGCUUACACUGUAUGUUCUUCACUUCUGUGUUUUUAUAUGUUAAUUUAACAUCAUUUGGUGCCUAUAUAUGGUUUGGACAAUACUAUCAAUGAGUUCUGUUGCUGGGGCAAAAAAAAUCAAUGAGUUCUGUUGCCUCUAUGGUUUGCCCCCUUUGUUUUGUUUAUCUCAUGCAUUGUCCUUUUCUGUUUUUCCAUGACUUGUUGCAGGUUGCUGAUAAUACAGACUCGAGUCCUGACACUCCGGGUUAAACAUGUUGGUGAUCUGUGGGAUGUACAAAGAGUUGAUAAGAUAAGCACUCUCUUGAAAAUCAAUCAUAUUAGAAAUUUUGUUGGUGUACUUCUCCUUGCAUUUUGUUUCUGGUUUGUUGUGAAACAGUUUCACAUGCUGAAGUUUUUGGUGACUUACAGAAUAUUUGCA